UACGUAGGGUGCAAGCGUUAAUCGGAAUUACUGGGCGUAAAGCGUGCGCAGGCGGUGAUGUAAGACAGGUGUGAAAGCCCCGGGCUCAACCUGGGAAUUGCAUUCGAGACUGAAUAGCUAGGGUACGGUAGAGGGAAGCGGAAUUUCCGGUGUAGCGGUGAAAUGCGUAGAUAUCGGAAGGAACAUCAGUGGCGAAAGCGGCUUCCUGGACCAGUACCGACGUUCAGGCACGAAAGCGUGGGGAGCAAACAGG
rnacentral:rRNA from 1 species